rnacentral:rRNA from 1 species
UACGUAGGGGGCAAGCGUUGUCCGGAUUUAUUGGGCGUAAAGAGCGUGUAGGCGGCUUGGUAGGUCUGCUGUGAAAACUCGAGGCUCAACCUCGAGACGUCGGCGGAAACCAUCUGGCUAGAGUCCGGAAGAGGAGAGUGGAAUUCCUGGUGUAGCGGUGAAAUGCGCAGAUAUCAGGAAGAACACCGGUGGCGAAGGCGGGUCUCUGGGCAGUAACUGACGCUGAGACACGAAAGCGUGGGGAGCAAACAGG